GAUGCUUUAUAUAUGUUGUAACAAAUGUCUUUUGGAUGUUGUGAGUGCCUUGGCUUUGUAAAUCUCCAAUUCUCCCUUUCAAGCAGACUCUUGCAUACCCCCCAUCUAAAAAUGCUGCUUCUGGAAUAAAAGAAGGGUAACGUCCUACCUU